rfam:Schistosoma curassoni strain Dakar, Senegal genome assembly, scaffold: SCTD_scaffold0001209
AUCCAUCUGACGAGUCCCAAAUAGAACGAAAUGUGAGUUCUGGAU